UUGUCCUACGGGACGCAGCAGUGGGGGAUAUUGCACAAUGGGGGGAACCCUGAUGCAGCGACGCCGCGUGGGUGAAGGAGCGUUUCGGCGCGUAAAGCCCUAUCGGCAGGGAAGAAGAUGACGGUAUCUGACCAAGAAGCCCCGGCUAACUACGUGCCAGCAGCCGCGGUAAUACGUAGGGGGCAAGCGUUAUCCGGAUUUACUGGGUGUAAAGGGGGCGCAGACGGCAAUGCAAGCCAGGAGUGAAAGCCCGGGGCCCAACCCCGGUACAGGCUCUGGAAACUGGCGGGCUAGAGAGCAGGAGG
rnacentral:rRNA from 1 species